GUUUCUUCAAGCCCUAAUCAACAUAUUGCUAAUGGGGGCUAUCUAGAGUGAUCUCAUAACUGUUUGAAAAUUAACACAUCCUUUUCACCUGUAGGCAUUCGUGGUAGCUGUACUUAAACUAAGCCGUAGUUACAUUGGCAGUUUUUGUAGGAUCCAUCAAUUUUUGGGUGUGUUCGACAUUGGUGAAAAAUUUAUGUCCACUCUCUCUCAGUUUGAUGUAUUGAAUGAAACUAAUCUAAUCGCGGCUGAUUAUUUAAAUUAGUUAUUUAGAAUGCGAAUAUCAUUUUUACUUAGUGUCAACUGGUACCCAUUCUCAAACGCACUUAAACAUUCGCUAUGAAUUUUCUCUACUAGUAUAUUUCUGUGAUUUUCUUGUAUAUUUGAAAUUGCUUAUUUGUUAUGACUUCUCUCCAGGAUUUCGAGCCUUGAAGCGUGGCUGAAUACAAACAUUAGUGCCUGAAUUGUGAGUUCAUAAAUCUGCAAGUUAACAUGGGCAAUCAAACAAAACCAGACCCAUUGAUUUCUUGAAGAGGCAAAUAUAUCGUCACUGCUAUUUUCAUGCAUCAUUGAAUCAUUUGCGAGAUUAGAUGCAACAUAUAUUCUACAGUUAGCACUUUCAUUGUAAUUUUCUUUUUCCACUGUCGCACAGGAACUUGUGGCAGGAUCUUGCAAGAGAAAGGAGAGAGAAUCUACCUUUUUUCAAUUGAGAUUUCUCAUCCAAAAUGGUCGUGCUUUGGGUGUCACUAAGUAAAUCUUGUUCAAUGUUUUCCAUUACAUCCCAAAAUUCUGGUGUCUUGUCUGAAGGUACAAAUCCAG
rnacentral:lncRNA from 1 species